AGAGUUUGAUCCUGGCUCAGAGUGAACGCUGGCGGCAGGCCUAACACAUGCAAGUCGAACGGCAGCACAGUAAGAGCUUGCUCUUAUGGGUGGCGAGUGGCGGACGGGUGAGGAAUACAUCGGAAUCUACUCUUUCGUGGGGGAUAACGUAGGGAAACUUACGCUAAUACCGCAUACGACCUACGGGUGAAAGCGGAGGACCUUCGGGCUUCGCGCGAUUGAAUGAGCCGAUGUCGGAUUAGCUAGUUGGCGGGGUAAAGGCCCACCAAGGCGACGAUCCGUAGCUGGUCUGAGAGGAUGAUCAGCCACACUGGAACUGAGACACGGUCCAGACUCCUACGGGAGGCAGCAGUGGGGAAUAUUGGACAAUGGGCGCAAGCCUGAUCCAGCCAUGCCGCGUGGGUGAAGAAGGCCUUCGGGUUGUAAAGCCCUUUUGUUGGGAAAGAAAAGCAGUCGGUUAAUACCCGAUUGUUCUGACGGUACCCAAAGAAUAAGCACCGGCUAACUUCGUG
rnacentral:rRNA from 1 species